rnacentral:lncRNA from 1 species
GGUGAACUGAGUUUCAUAAUCCAAGGCGACCUUCUCAAGGAAGCUGUUGCCUUUGGUGCACUCACCUCCUGGGGCCAGGUCGCAUGCACAAGCUGGAGACUCCAACCUCACAGAGCUGACCCUCCAGUGGAAAGAGGCAGAAGCCACAUCACCCACAGGUAGAUGAGUAAUCUCGGAUAGUGCCAG